rnacentral:lncRNA from 1 species
GGAGAAUUAACUCCAGCUUAUUACCUCCAUUGUCCUAUUUAAAUUCUUCAGUUGAACGUCUCCUUUAUAAACAUAUACCCAGACUUAAAACAGUCACUGUCUAGACUCUACGACCACAUCAAAAACAAAACAAAACCUUAACAAGCAACGUCUAAAUUAACCAAACUUUUUGGUCAUUACAUAUCAUGCAGGCUCUGUUUUUUUACCUGUCCAAGAUGCCCAAACUUGGUAAUGAUGAUGAUAUGUCUUGUGUGC